UUUCCACCUUCUUCCUUUAGAAUUUUGGCUUCUUAUUGCUGUCAUUCUCCGUGAUUGAAAUAACCAGAUCUUUGCUCACUUACUUUAUAUCAUUGCUGCCUCCUCUACUCAUUCAGUUUCACACAAUCACACUGAUAUAGGGAUCUUCAAGAUUUUCAUCAUUAUCUUCUUCUAUCCAAGUUUUCAGACGAUGAUGACAGCACCCUAGUUACCAAAAUGAAAUCCCAACAAGUCAACAGCCUCUCCAAUCUUUAAAUAGCUGAAUACUGAAUCAACAAUCAAUCCUACUCCAGCAAAAUGGUGUUCCCAUCUCUUCAUUUGUGGGUGCUCCGUGUAUAGCUUUGAUCUAGUCCGAUUCUAUUUACCCAGGGUUUAAGGUGAUAACAGUUUAAUGAAAGCCGCAGAGAAGGCUUCAAAGGGGGGGGGAACAGAUGAGCAUGUCGGAGAAGCAAUCUGCGAAUGGAGGUGAAGUUACAGUGGAAGUUCAAAAUGUUGGGACGAAUGAAGCUAAAGGGUCUCCUUCAACCAAGCAAAGCAAACUGGACUUGAGAGUGUCCACUGAGUCCAGUAGUACCGGGUUCCCUAAGCCAGAUCCGGGUGGGUGUCCUUCACCGGAUAUUUCAAGAGCCAGUCCCAACCCCAGUAAGUGUCCGAGUUCGGCCCGCAAUGAGAGCAUCAAUAGGAGAAAGUCAUUUAAUAGGACCUCCGAGCUAAAAAGUGGAAAUGAACUCACGAAUAGAAAGAGGAGCUUGCGAACGUCAAGACGAGAGAAUAUGAGACAAAAUGGGCCACACAAUUGAGCAGAAAUGAAGAAAUAAGCUUUCCUAGUCCAACCAGGAAAUCCUGCGAAAUGGAGGAGGGCUUCCCAAGCAAGUUUCCAACGCAACCAUGAAAAAUUAAUGGAAAAAUAAUGUGUUUUGACGUUGGAGAGAGAAAAGGCUUGAAGUUGAAGCAACAAGGCCCAAGAACUCUAUGGAUUGAGUUGGAUUUUCGGCAAAAUGGAUCAAGGCCCAUAAAAGCCCAUGAAAUUAGGGUUUGUGUCGCAAAACCUAAACCCUAGGGAUGCUUUGCCGUGAAAACCAAAGGGAAGAGAGAAAGUUGGCGUGAAAAAUCAAGAAGAAAAUAAAAGAUUACGCCAAGAGAUUUUCUUGGGAGACUUUUAAGGAAAGAAGAAGUGUGGACAUCAAGAAAAGGUUCAAAACAAGUCUAGAUUCGUCUCCUAUUUUCUCUAAAUAUAUUGUUGCCGAAAUUGGUGAAGAAAAUCAGAAAAUAUCUCUAUAUAUUUCGGAAAUAAUAUAUACUUAAGGGAUUUAGAAUCUUCUUGGAGUUUUAUGAUUGGUUGGAUGACACACUAGGGCUUACUUGGCAAUUUCUCAUUGGUGGAAGCUAUGUGGAAUUAUUUAUUUAAUUCCUUGGAAAAUAAAGCAGAAAAUACACGGCUUGGGGACCAAGUUUGGCCGUUCCCUAUAUAUACUCUACAUCCCUAGACGUCUAACAUCACUUUACAAUUCAGAAAAUUCUCUCUACGCACGAAAGCUCUCUCCAUUCUCUAGGCAUCUUUUGGCGUUUUCAAGCAAGGAAGAAAGAAGCAAGACUAAGCCGUGAGCAUCUCCACCAUUCCACCUUGAAGCCGUGCACUUUGAAGCUUGCUUUCGAGUUUCAUUAGUUCAUCAUUCGAGUUCUUCAUCACCAUCUCCAUUCACGGUGUAAUUCAACCUUCUUUCUUGUAAUCACUUUUGAUUCUCCUUGUUUGAUUUCGUUGGAAGUUGUUCUAGUUAACAUUGAUGUUUGAACAAGGUUUAUAAUCUGAAAUUUUAUGAUUGAAUAAAGGAUUUUGAAUUCUAUGUUGUGAUUCCAAAGUUGCUUAUGUGUGAUUGUUCGAUUGAAUUUGCUUUAUAGAUAUCUCUUGUAUGUUAAUCUUAAUUGGUUCGAAACUUUUAGGGUUUAUGUAUGAGUGGUGCUAGAUUUAAGAACAUGAUUCAACUUUUUGUGUUAUGAACUUAAAUCAAAAGUAGUAAAGGUUUUGGACAAAAAUCGAAUUCAAUUGAAAAGGAUUGCAAUUAGAUGGACUUAUUCAUACUAAGUUGUACACUUGAGUUGAUAGCCUUUCUAUGUGUUUCUUGCGUUGAAUAUGUAUGAUUGACUAGCUUUCUAGGGCUUGAUUACAUGUUUGAUAGAAUUAAUCUUUGUGCUUUCACUUCGGUUAAUUAGCAUUGAAAGUAAAAUAUGGGAAAUCGUUUGCUUUCUAAUGUUUUACAUGAUCAACUCCUUUCACAUGACUUGGAAGAACAAUGUAGGGUUCAUUCGAAUUUAAUCAUGAACUUGGUUUUAAUCUUUAUUUCUUACAUCUCAUUCUUGUAUUUGUGUUUUAGUUUAUACUUAGUUUUUAUUCUCGUUUUUAAUUUUUCGAAAACCAAAAACAAAAAAACCCCCCCUAAUUUCGUAAAUAAUGUUUAUACUUGUGAAUAUUAUACUUUGUAAAUAAUGACAGGUGUACCCUCAAUCCCCGGAAUAGAACGAUCCCUAUUUGCUUAUACUACUAACGAUAUUUUCAGGGUUAAAUUAUGCGCUUGCAAAAAGCGUAUCAAUUUUUGGCGCCGUUGCCGGGGAUUGAAAAAUCAUUUGUCACUUUGUGAAUAUGUGUUUUGUUUAUAUUGUGACCGAAAAAAAAAAAAAUUACUU